rnacentral:lncRNA from 1 species
GGUGGUGGUGGUGCUGGUGGUGGUGCUAAUGGUGGUGGUGGGAGGCGGGGGGAUGGAGGGAUGUUGACGUUUGGCGUUUGGGUUUUGGGUUCUGAAGGCUCAGGCUGAAGCUGACGGCGGACAUGAAGAAGAACCGGCUCGGUUCAGAAGAGAUGACCCAACAGAAUCACCUGUUGCAUCGAAGAAAAGGGUACAGGGUAGUGGCAGGUGUGCCAGCUAGGACCCACCAACCCAAAGCGCCAAGCAGCUGUGUGUGGUUCCGGCGCUGCAGCUGCAGCCAGCAGAUUCCUGCACUUACCACCAUUGCUGAGACUGAUCCAACAAGACAGAAGGUCUUUUUCUACCAACUGGAGAAUCUUGCCCACAAAUUUGCAAUUUCUCAGUGUCAGAAGCAACGCUUAAAACACCUUCUUCAUCUCAGAGAACCCCACAGACAGGGGAUAUUCCACAAAAUCCGUCACCUUCUGAAGCCUGAAAGUCAGCCUGCAGCGCUGGGUGGAAGACUAGUGAUUUUGUUGUGAUACUGAACAAAAAGACCAACAACAAAACCCAGUCUGCCUCUCAGUGCCGGGUACAGCCCACCUAUCAAAGCCUGGUCAGUGUGGAGAAGUUUGGACCUGCUGCUGCUACAAAUGGGUAGCAAAGCAAAAGUUUUACUUUUUGGCAGUAGAUGUGGGGCAAAAAGAAAUCCAUGUUUAAUAAGAAAAUAAAAUUCUUUAAAAUAUUUUGUAAUGUUAAUAU